GCACAUUUAAUUGGUCUUCAUUUGUUUGACUAAUAGACUCUGGACAUAGCCACCAUGACACCACCCAUUGGUUUCUAAAGAGCGUACAGCGAGCGGCUCCGGCCAACUCCCAACUAAUCCAAAGUGGUCAAAGAGGUAGAGCUGAGGUGGGCCAAAUGAAGCCUGGUUCCUGAAACACGCCCACCUAGCUCAAAGCUUCCAAGCUAGCUAAGGCUAACAAGCUAUGCUAUGGGGCUAACCCUGUGGUCUUCUUGCUACCAGUUGCCACUGUCACCAUCGCGGCUUACGUUACUUGAGUACAUUGGUCCUUGAGCUCAUUGCUACCUGUGAUGCCUCCACCAUGCCUGCUACACACAGUAUAAACUUGUGGAUCAUUGGUGACAGCUGGUGCCCUAAGAGAUGAAGAGACUAAUGGAAAGCAACCUCAGCAUGCUGGAUGUCCCUCACAUUAGAUAUGACUGUUCUGGGCUAUUUUUGAAAGAUGAAGUUCAUGUCACACUUAGGGGAAUAUAAUAAUGCCAAAUUACAACAAAAUCACAUCUGUGGGCACUUUUCUAACGGAACAGGUCUAGACCAUACUCAUACUCAUUUAUAGAUAGAGAGACCCAACAAUUUCCUCAUGCGCAAGCACUUGGCGACAGCGGCAAGGAAAAACAAAAUCACUAUUCCCUCAGUUUGUGGCCACAAACUGAGUCUGUAAUUUUUAUGUUUAGAUUUGCUACUUUUACUGUAAAAUUUUUAGCCAACAUCCGUUCUUGUCAUAAGUAUAAAAUAUCCAUUCCUUUUUUAAACCUUCAAAUGCCAGUUUGUUUGCGCAAUGCGCUUGUUGAAAAACAACCUCAAAAUCAACUAUUAUCCAUAUUCCAACUUGCUGCCGAGAAACUUACUAAACAUCCACCAACCUCUCCUCCUCCUCCUAAUAGGAAAGAUCAACUCAUAUAGAAAUGGUGUGAACUACGUCACUUUAGA